UAUGUUAUCAGUAUUUUAGGGCGAGGUUUCACAAUCCAUUCUAUAGAUACUUUUUUGGAUUGAUUUGGUGGUCUCUAAUUGAAUCAAAGAGAGGUUUAUGAAGUAGUAAGCUUUUUCUUUGUCUCUGAUCGUUAUUUCCAAUCCUCUUUAGGUCAUGUCACACAACAAGGAGAGACGAUCAAAACGUGACGAAAAACUUGACAAAAAGUCCAUGGCCAUGGAGGAGCUGAAGGCCGAGCGCGAGAAGAAGAAGAACAGAACAGCUGAACUGCUGUCCAAACGUCAGCCUCUGAAGACCAGCGAGGUUUACUCCGACGAUGAGGAGGAAGAGGAGGAAGACGACGACAAGUCUUCCGUC